GACGAACGCUGGCGGCGUGCUUAACACAUGCAAGUCGAACGAAGAGCGAUGGAAGCUUGCUUCUCUCAAUCUUAGUGGCGAACGGGUGAGUAACGCGUAAUCAACCUGCCCUUCAGAGGGGGACAACAGUUGGAAACGACUGCUAAUACCGCAUACGAUCUAAUCUCGGCAUCGAGGAUAGAUGAAAGGUGGCCUCUACAUGUAAGCUAUCACUGAAGGAGGGGAUUGCGUCUGAUUAGCUAGUUGGAGGGGUAACGGCCCACCAAGGCGAUGAUCAGUAGCCGGUCUGAGAGGAUGAACGGCCACAUUGGGACUGAGACACGGCCCAGACUCCUACGGGAGGCAGCAGUGGGGAAUCUUCCGCAAGGGACGAAAGUCUGACGGAGCAACGCCGCGUGAGCGAUGACGGCCUUCGGGUUGUAAAGCUCUGUUAAUCGGGACGAAAGGCCUUCUUGCGAAUAGUGAGAAGGAUUGACGGUACCGGAAGAGAAAGCCACGGCUAACUACGUG
rnacentral:rRNA from 1 species